rnacentral:tRNA from 1 species
GGGGGUGUAGCUCAAGUGGCAGAGCGUGUGCUUCGCACGCACGAGGUCCGGGGUUCAAUCCCCAGCACCUCCA